UGCAUGGUGGCACAGUGGGUAGCAUUGUUCCCUUGCAGCAAGCAUGUCCUGGGUUCGACUCCCAGCCGGGGGUCUUUCUGCAU